ACAGUCUCAGCGGCUGCUGCUCCUGACGGGCACGCGUGAUGCCCAGUCUGGAGGGUUCGCUGCAAUCAGUGCUACAGCUUUAGAAACUGUGAUUUACUGCUGAUUUAAAACUCUUUAAAGAGCCGACUUCCUGCCGAUGGGGCUGAGGGAAGAGCGGCAGGCGCAGUGCUGGCAGAGACUCCGGCAGGGCCUCGUGCGGGGGCCGGGAGCAGCGCCUUCUUUUUAGGAAACGACGCUUCAGGCUCAGGCCCGUCCAUGCUCCUCUCCCGUGUGAGUGCAGAGAAGGUCCUGGGUUCUGUCUGCUGCUUCACUCUGGGGAAGCUGAUGGAACUGCCGCCAUUUCCCAAAGUAAAGGAGCUUAUCAGCGACUGAGCUGGCCGUGUUUAGGAGGACGGGGUGAUGCCACUGACACUGAGGGAGGCGUGAAGCCUGAGACGCGCCUGUGAGACCGGGACCGGUGGGGCCGGCGCGCGCCCAGAUUCCAGCUCUGCCCCAGGAGCCUGAAGCCCCCAGCAACCUGCAGUGUGGGCUCUGAGAAACUCGGUGAAACAGGGCUUCCCUGCAGGUGGCCAGCGGAUGGGACAAUCAGGGCAGACUUGGAGGUCUCUGAAGUCUUGGAAAGUCUGAAGGGCAGGCCAGCCUGGGAGAUGGAGGACACACUGGAGUGGCAGGUGCCUCGGGCGGCCGGCUGAGCACCAAAGAGGGACUUCUCACACACAGGUCCGCUUGGUCUCCUACACGCUUGCCCACGCGCUCCGUGGAUGCAGGAGCCGUGGUUAUCCUUGGCAGAAGGUUGAGUAGCACCUGCCUUGCCAGGGACCUGCUCCAAGCAGGCACGUCUGGUGAAUGCUGUGCCAGGCCCUUCCGGGAGCAGCCCCUCCCCGGGUGCCGGGGUCACCUGGCUCUGCCUGCCUGCAUGUGGAUCCCUGCGGGGCAGCGGGCACCCGGAUGACGUGGUUUUCCCUCACUGGAUUGGAGUGGAGUGAAUUUAACCCCCUCGUGGCUGCCAUCAUUUUCACUGUGAGGGAAGAGCAGCCGUGCCGUGGUGGUUUUAGAUGUCGUCUGUGGAGGACAUCAGGCUGACAUCCACGUCCUGGACUCCCCCUCGUUUGGUUUCAGAAUUUCUCUUAAAGACAACAUCAUAUUGUGACCCCAAAGCAUUCGAUAGAAAUAUCAAAAUUUUAAGGCACUUUGAGAAUUAAGAUAAAAUAUCUGUAAAUAUUA
rnacentral:lncRNA from 1 species